rnacentral:lncRNA from 1 species
AUUUUUGGGAUAUUUUUAAGGGAUUUUUGGGUGAUUUUUGGGGGAUUUCUGGGGGAUUUUGGGGUGAUUUUUCAGUGAUAUUUUGGGGAUUUUUUAGGAUAUUUUUGGGAUAUUUUUGGGGAUUUUUGGGUGAUAUUUAGGAUAUUUUGGGGAGAUUUUGGGGAGAUUUUUGGGCAAUAUUUGGGAUAUUUUGAGGGUAUUUUGGGGCGAUCUUUGGGAUAUUUUUGGGUGAUUUUUGGGUGAUAUUUUGGGUACCUGCCCAUAGUUCCAGGCCCUCUCAGCGAUUUGCUCCUCGGUGCCGUAGAAGAUUCGGCCGCUCUCGUUCAGGACGUACUCGCUCAGGUCGCUCGUUUUCUCCAUGUACACCGAGUCCUCUGCCCCAAACAGCCCAAAUUCCCUCAAUUUAAACAUUUCCCCCCAUUUGAAACCAAUUUUUACCCUUUUUUCCCCCAAUGUUUCCCCAAUUUUUCCCAAUUUUUCCCAAUUUUUUACCAAUUUUUUCCCAAUUUUUUUACCAAGUUUUUACCAAUUUUUCCCCAUUUUUUCCCCCAUUUUCCCCCCAAUUUUUUGUUGAUUUUUCCCCAAUUUUUCCCCAAUUUUUUCCCAUUUUUUUUCCAAAUUUUUUGUUGAUUUUUGUCCAAUUUUUCUCCAUUCCCCCCAAUUUUUUGUUGAUUUUCCCCGAAUCUUUUUUUGAUUUUUCCCCAAUUUUUCCCCAAUAUUUCCCCAAUUCUUCCCCCCUUUUUAAACCAAUUUUUACCCUUUUUUCCCCAAUGUUUCCCCAAUUUUCCCAAUUUUUCCCAAUUUUUUACCAAUUCUUCCCAAUUUUUCCCAAUUUUUCCCCAAUUUUUCCCCAAUUUUUCCCAAUUUUAUCCCAAUUUUUCCCCAAAUUUUCCCAAUUUUUCCUCAAUUUUUCCCCAAUUUUUUCCCAAUUUUUUCCCAAUUUUUUCCCAAUUUUUCCCCAAUUUUUCCCCAAUUUUUUCCCAAUUUUUCCCCAAUUUUUUUCCAAUUUUUUCUCAAUUUUUCCCCAAUUUUUCCUCCAUUUUUCCCCAAUUUUCCCCCAAUUUUUCCCAAUUUUUCCCCAAAUUUUCCCAAUUUUUCCUCAAUUUUUCCCCAUUUUUUUCCAAUUUUAUCCCAAUUUUAUCCCAAUUUUUCCCCAAAUUUUCCCCCAUUUUAUUCCCAAUUUUCACCCAUUUUUUUUCCAAUUUUAUCCGAAUUUUUUCCCAUUUUUUCCCAACUUUUCCCCAUUUUUCCUCCAUUUUUCCUCCAUUUUUUCUCAAUUUUCCCCCAAUUUUUUCUCAAUUUUUUUCCCAAUUUUCCCCAAUUUUUCCCCAAUUUUUCCCCAUUUUUUUCCCCUUUCCCCCCCAUUUUUCCCCCAAUUUUCCACUAAUUUUUCCCCAUUUUUUCCUAUUUUUUCCAUUUUUCCCUCCAUUUUUUACCCAAUUUUUUCCUCCAUUUUUCCCAAUUUUAUCCCAAUUUUAUCCCAAUUUUUCCCCAAAUUUUCCCAAUUUUAUCCCAAUUUUAUCCCAAUUUUUCCCCAAAUUUUCCCAAUUUUUUCUCAAUUUUUCCCCAAUUUUUCCUCCAUUUUUUCCUCAAUUUUCCCCCAAUUUUC